rnacentral:rRNA from 1 species
CCUACGGGUGGCAGCAGUAGGGAAUCUUCCACAAUGGGCGAAAGUCUGAUGGAGCAACGCCGCGUGGGUGAAGCAGGUCUUCGGAUCGUAAAACCCUGUUGUUAGAGAAGAAAAUGCGUGAGAGUAACUGUUCACGUUUUGACGGUAUCUAACCAGAAAGCCACGGCUAACUACGUGCCAGCAGCCGGGGUAAUACGUAGGUGGCAAGCGUUCUCCGGAUUUAGUGGGCGUAAAGGAAACGCCGGCGGGUUUGUAAGUCUGCUGUGAAAGCCGUCGGCUUAACCGGAGUAGUGCCGUGGAAUCUGUGAGACUUGAGUGCAGAAGAGGAGAGUGGAACUCCAUGUGUAGCGGUGAAAUGCGUAGAUAUAUGGAAGAACACCAGGGGCGAAAGCGGCUCUCUGGUCUGUAACUGACGCUGAGGUUCGAAAGCGUGGGUAGCAAACAGGAUUAGAUACCCCAGUAGUC